rnacentral:rRNA from 1 species
GAUGAACGCUGGCGGCGUGCCUAAUACAUGCAAGUCGAGCGAACAGACGAGGCGCUUGCUCCUCUGACGUUAGCCGCGGACGGGUGAGUAACGCGUGGAUCACCUCCCUAUCAUUCUGGGAUCAUCUCGGGACUCCGGCGCUUAUCCCGGAUAAUAUACUGCUCCGCAUGGGUCAAUAGUAAAAGACGGUUUUGCUGUCUCUUAUAGCUGGAUCCGCGCCGCAUUAGCUAGUUGGUACGGUAACGGCUUAUCACGGCGACGAUGCGUAGCCGACCUGAGAGAGGGGUCGGCCACACUGGAACUGAGACACGGUCCAGGCGCCUACGGGAGGCAGCAGUAGGGAAUCGGCCGCAAUGGGCGGAAGCCUGACGGAGCAACGCCGCGUGUGUGAUGGAGGUCUUCCGAGCGGAAAACUCUGUUAUGAGGGAAGAACAAAUGUGGAAGUAACUAAGCACGUCUUGACGGUACCUAAUCAGAAAGCAACGGCUAACUACGUG